AAACUUAGGUUCACCUAAACCGAAG
rnacentral:tRNA from 1 species